rnacentral:rRNA from 1 species
UGCCGGCGACAAGUCGGAGGAAGGUGGGGAUGACGUCAAAUCAUCAUGCCCUUAUGACCUGGGCUACACACGUGCUACAAUGGGCGGUACAAAGGGCUGCGAACCCGCGAGGGGGAGCGAAUCCCAAAAAGCCGCUCUCAGUUCGGAUUGCAGGCUGCAACUCGCCUGCAUGAAGCCGGAAUCGCUAGUAAUCGCGGAUCAGCAUGCCGCGGUGAAUAAGUUCUCGGGUUU